rnacentral:lncRNA from 1 species
CUGUAUAUCUGCCUGGGUACAUUUAACUUGUCUAUAUCUGACUGGGUUUAAUAAACUCCUCUAAUCUGACUGGGUUAAUAACCCUGUAUAUCUGACUGGGUAAAUAACUGCCUAUCUGAUCUGGGUUAAUAAUUCUUUGACGCGGGUUAAUAAUCCUCUUGAGGGUUAAUAACUUCCUCUGACUGGUACUCCUUUGACGAGUUCAUAAUCCUCUGAUGGGAUAAUAAACUCCCUUGACUGGGAUAAUAACUCCUCUGACUGGGGUUAUAACUCCUCUGACUGGGUUAAUAACCCCUCUAUAUCUGACUGGGUUAAUAACUCCUCUAUAUCUGACUGGGUUAAUAACCUGGUAUAGAACCAGGGACUUGGG